AGUGAACGCUGGCGGUAGGCCUAACACAUGCAAGUCGAACGGCAGCACAGUAAGAGCCUGCUCUUACGGGUGGCGAGUGGCGGACGGGUGAGGAAUACAUCGGAAUCUACUUUUUCGUGGGGGAUAACGUAGGGAAACUUACGCUAAUACCGCAUACGACCUACGGGUGAAAGCAGGGGAUCUUCGGACCUUGCGCGAUUGAAUGAGCCGAUGUCGGAUUAGCUAGUUGGCGGGGUAAAGGCCCACCAAGGCGACGAUCCGUAGCUGGUCUGAGAGGAUGAUCAGCCACACUGGAACUGAGAGACGGUCCAGACUCCUACGGGAGGCAGCAGUGGGGAAUAUUGGACAAUGGGCGCAAGCCUGAUCCAGCCAUACCGCGUGGGUGAAGAAGGCCUUCGGGUUGUAAAGCCCUUUUGUUGGGAAAGAAAAGCAGCAGGUUAAUACCCCGCUGUCCUGACGGUACCCAAAGAAUAAGCACCGGCUAACUUCGUG
rnacentral:rRNA from 1 species